GACGAACGCUGGCGGCGUGCUUAACACAUGCAAGUCGAACGGAAAGGCCCUGCUUUUGUGGGGUGCUCGAGUGGCGAACGGGUGAGUAACACGUGAGUAACCUGCCCUUGACUUUGGGAUAACUUCAGGAAACUGGGGCUAAUACCGGAUAGGAGCUCCUGCUGCAUGGUGGGGGUUGGAAAGUUUCGGCGGUUGGGGAUGGACUCGCGGCUUAUCAGCUUGUUGGUGGGGUAGUGGCUUACCAAGGCUUUGACUGGUAGCCGGCCUGGGAGGGUGACCGGCCACAUUGGGACUGAGAUACGGCCCAGACUCCUACGGGAGGCAGCAGUGGGGAAUAUUGCACAAUGGGCGGAAGCCUGAUGCAGCAACGCCGCGUGCGGGAUGACGGCCUUCGGGUUGUAAACCGCUUUCGCCUGUGACGAAGCGUGAGUGACGGUAAUGGGUAAAGAAGCACCGGCUAACUACGUG
rnacentral:rRNA from 1 species